rnacentral:rRNA from 1 species
UACGUAGGCCGCGAGCGUUGUUCGGAGUUACUGGGCGUAAAGCGUGCGUAGGCGGUGUCUUAAGUUUGUUGUGAAAUCUCACGGCUUAACCGGGAGGGUGCGGCGAAUACUGAGAUGCUGGAGUGCCGGAGAGGUAAGCGGAAUUCCUGGUGUAGCGGUGAAAUGCGUAGAUAUCAGGAGGAACACCAGCGGUGUAGACAGCUUACUGGACGGUAACUGACGCUGAGGCACGAAAGCGUGGGUAGCAAACGGG